rnacentral:rRNA from 1 species
CGUAGGGUGCGAGCGUUAAUCGGAAUUACUGGGCGUAAAGCGUGCGCAGGCGGUUUUGUAAGACAGAUGUGAAAUCCCCGGGCUCAACCUGGGACCUGCAUUUGUGACUGCGAGGCUAGAGUACGGUAGAGGGGGAUGGAAUUCCGCGUGUAGCAGUGAAAUGCGUAGAUAUGCGGAGGAACACCGAUGGCGAAGGCAAUCCCCUGGACCUGUACUGACGCUCAUGCACGAAAGCGUGGGGAGCAAACAGGAUUAGAUACCCUGGUAGUCCACGCCCUAAACGAUGUCAACUGGUUGUUGGGCCUUUACUGACUCAGUAACGAAGCUAACGCGUGAAGUUGACCGCCUGGGGAGUACGGCCGCAAGGUUG